GACAGAGGGUGCAAACGUUUGUUCGGAAUUACUGGGCGUAAAGCGUGCGCAGGCGGUUUUGUAAGUCUGUCGUGAAAUCCCCGGGCUCAACCUGGGAAUUGCGAUGGAGACUGCAAGGCUAGAAUCUGGCAGAGGGGGGGUAGAAUUCCACGUGUAGCAGUGAAAUGCGUAGAGAUGUGGAGGAACACCGAUGGCGAAGGCAGCCCCCUGGGUCAAGAUUGACGCUCAUGCACGAAAGCGUGGGGAGCAAACAGG
rnacentral:rRNA from 1 species